rnacentral:rRNA from 1 species
AUUGAACGCUGGCGGCAGGCCUAACACAUGCAAGUCGAACGAGUGGCGGACGGGUGAGUAAUGUCUGGGAAACUGCCUGAUGGAGGGGGAUAACUACUGGAAACGGUAGCUAAUACCGCAUACAAUCGGAUGUGCCCAGAUGGGAUUAGCUAGUUGGUGGGGUAACGGCUCACCGAGGCGACGAUCCCUAGCUGGUCUGAGAGGCUGACAAGCCAAACGUGAACUGAGAACCGGCCCAGACUCCUACGGGAGGCAGCAGUGGGGAAUAUUGCGCAAUGGGGGCAAGCCUGAUGCAGCCAUGCCGCGGGGAUGAAGAAGGCCUUCGGGUUGUAAAGUACUUUCAGCGGGGAGGCGUUACUCGCAGAAGAAGCACCGGCUAACUCCGUGCCAGCCGCCGCGGUAAUAC